CAGUCGCCGCGGGAAUACGGAGGGAGCUAGCGUUGUUCGGAAUUACUGGGCGUAAAGCGCACGUAGGCGGCUUUGUAAGUUAGAGGUGAAAGCCUGGAGCUCAACUCCAGAAUUGCCUUUAAGACUGCAUCGCUUGAAUCCAGGAGAGGUGAGUGGAAUUCCGAGUGUAGAGGUGAAAUUCGUAGAUAUUCGGAAGAACACCAGUGGCGAAGACGGCUCACUGGACUGGUAUUGACGCUGAGGUGCGAAAGCGUGGGGAGCAAACAGGAUUAGAGACCCCUGUAGUCCCUGUCUCUUAUAC
rnacentral:rRNA from 1 species